ensembl:lncRNA
CUGCUAACCGCCAUUAAUACCAGAUGAAGAAGAAAUGAACAAUAGCAGAGGGUUAAUCACGUUCUCCUGAGAAGAAUUUAGGAGUUACUAUACUUGGGGGUGUUACCAUUCUUCUGGAAAAUGGAUACAGAAGGUGUUCCUCCAUAAUUUCAAGAUAAACGCUAAGGAGUGAGGACUUCCUGCAUGUUAUCUUCCAAACAGUGUGUACCGUCAUAAGAGAUAAUGCAUUUGAGAUCAGCAUUCUGUAAAGACAGCGCAGAGGACUGGGAGGAGCAAAGGGAGUUAUAGGAAGCCAUGCUGGGUCCAUCUAAAUUACACAGUCCAUAAAACUGUAAUAGGGAGACGAUCAGUAGCUUAUAUCAGUAAGACUUCGCAGGCUAUUUACCUUUUUAUAUGGGUGUAAAUUUUACAGGGACCAAGGACAGCAGAAACCUUGGUGUCUUGACUGCAAGUGACUCAAAAAUAG